rnacentral:rRNA from 1 species
GCGGUUAAAAAGCUCGUAGUCUGAGGUCUGUUCCGGACUGGNNKNGCAAGCACCGCCCGGUGCUUGCCCGUCAGGUUNGGAACAGCUUCUGCCGCGAGCGGAAGCCAAGCCGGUUCGCCGGGGUGCUCUUGACCGAGUGUCCCGCGCGGCCGGCCGGUUCACCUUGAACAAAUCAGAGUGCUCAAAGCAGGCUAUUCUUCUAGCUAAAGCCAGAAUGUUCACUGCAUGGAAUGAUAAAAGAUGAGUUUGGUUUAAUUUUACUGGCAUUUCCCGAAUUAAUGAUAAACAGAGACUGUCGGGGGCAUCCGUACUACGACGCGAGGGGUGAAAUCCUGUGACCGUCGUAGGACGAACAACAGCGAAAGCAUUUGCCAAGAAUGUCUUCGUUGAUCAAGAACGAAAGUUAGAGGAUCGAAGGCGAUCAGAUACCGCCCUAGUUCUAACCCUAAACGAUGCUGACUAGCACCGUCGUUAUUCCCAUGACGUGGCGGGACGCCCCCGGGAAACCUCAAGUCUUUGAGUUCCGGGGGUAGUAUGGUUGCAAAACUGAAACUUAAAGGAAUUGACGGAAGGGCACCACCAGGAGUGGAGCCUGCGGCUUAAUUUGACUCAACACGGGAAACCUCACCAGGCCCGGACACCAGAAGGAUUGACAGAUUAA